UACAGAGGGGGCAAGCGUUAUUCGGAAUUAUUGGGCGUAAAGGGCGCGUAGGCGGCUUUUCAAGUGACGGGUGAAAUCCCUCGGCUUAACCGAGGAACUGCCUGUCAGACUGGAAGGCUUGAGACCGGGAGAGGUGAGUGGAAUUCCCAGUGUAGCGGUGAAAUGCGUAGAUAUUGGGAGGAACACCAGUGGCGAAGGCGGCUCACUGGACGACUGUUGACGCUGAGGUGCGAAAGCGUGGGGAGCAAACAGG
rnacentral:rRNA from 1 species